rnacentral:snRNA from 1 species
AUCGCUUCUCUGCCUUUUGGCUAAGAUCAAGUGUAGGAUCUGUUCUUAACAGCUUAAUAUCUGAUAUAUUUUCUAUCCGAGUCCAAUAUAUUAAAUGGAUUUGGGGAGCAGGAAGACGGAAUAGGAGCUUGCUUGUUCACUUCACGCAUCGAUCUGGUAUUGCAGUACCUCCAGGAACAGUGCACCCCCU